CCUGUGCCCCGCGCAGUCUGGUUUCUGGCCGCCUUCGUGAUGGCGGUGCUUCCACACCUUCCUGAGAACAAGGCCCGCAUCACAUCGGUCUUCGGGAACGUGCUGCAGAUGGACUCCACCAAGAAGAUGGUCAAGAAGCUUGCGGGGGCGGCCGCCGGAACCGCCGCCUGGGUCACCAACGCAGAGAACGAGCACAGGCAGGAGCUCAUGUCCGGGCUCACUGUCGCCGAGGGCGUAGGGCUGUCGAGCGGACUGAUGCGGCGGUACAGGGAGGCGGGACAGCUUCUGUACGUGGACCGCGACUGCUGCUCCGCCACCGGGAAGAGCAAGGUCGCGGCCAUGUUCGCCGAUUGGAAGGAGCUGAUGGUGCGGCUGGACGUGUGGCACCUCAUGCGGCGCUUCGCCAGGGGGGUGACCACAGACGGCCACAUCCUCUACGGUCCCUUCAUGGCCCGGCUGUCCCUGGCCAUCUUCGAGUGGGACGCAGAGGACAGCAACCUGCUGAGAUGGGCCAAGCAGCCUGUGGACGGCAGCCGACCGGUCACUCUUUCGGUCAAGGAGCUGGCCCGACACUGCCGUCGCCGCACCAGAGGGGCCGAGGAGACGGAGCGGCUCAUCCAUGAGGUGCUGGACCACUUCUGGGAGGCCAAGGAUACCAUGGGCAUGGCUCUCCUAGACCAGGCCAGGACUCGGCACAUCUGUUACACGCAGUGCCAGCACAUGGCCUGCAUCCAGGACCCGCCCGUCGUCACCUUAUACACCAAGGCGGGGGAGGUGACGAGAGGCGGCAUCAAGCUUCCGAUCUUCAGGUGCGCGUGAGGCUCCACUUCCCUGGAGUGCUUCCACCUCCACCAGUGCCGCUUCAUUCCAGGCACCGUGGCCAACGCCCUCCACUUCCAGGUCUACCUGCUGGAGGGCUUGACCCGGUGGACCAAGCCAGGGCAGCCUUGGUGGGGGGCCCGUCGACGACCUUGACACGCUGCUACAACUCCCGCCUGCUCGACGCUUUCCAAAAGCUGACGCAGAAGCUGCUGAACCGCACGGUGGUGGAAAACUACACCCCGCCGGGGGAGUACAGCGGGGAGCUCAUCGGCUUAGACUACCUGUACGACCGGCGCCGCACUCCACCCGGAACCCGGUCGUGACAAGGAGGUGUAGGAGGAGGACCUGACCGCUUGGAUGGACAAGGUGGUGGAGGAGGAGGAGGACGACAACGGGGCGGUCAAUGUGGAAGACCUGGACGAAGGAGACCCGGAGUUCAUGGCCUUGACAGACUGCCAAGACAGGGGCAGGGGCAGGGACAGGGUGGCUGCGCCCCCACCACGUCCAGACGCCUUCGUAGAGGAUGACGUCCUUGGACCGGACAGACACAGGGGCUACCAGCACGUCUACCGCCUGGCGUCGCCGCUAGUGGAGCUUCGCCUAUACUCCGUUGUCACGCAGUCGCAGGUGGCCAACAUAAGGGAU